GCCAAAAGAAGGGGUGCAAGGAGGACAUAAACACGACGACAUUCAGUUGACAAAAGAAAGUAGUAACUGGCUGACCUCUGAAGAGAUUUGAUUAGUUGCAAUGAGAGUUAUGUAUCGGGCGGGAAAAUGGUUAGCUUGAAUCCAGUACAUACACUUUGGGAUUCUAUUUUCUGGGCAGAUUUAACCGUUGAUUUGGUUGUAUUCACCAGUUCCAUCAUUUUCAGGUUGCUUAUGUUGGCAAAGUUUAUAGGGAUUUCCUCAAGCUUAUUUAAAUUACGAAGGACAAGCCUCUCUAAGCUCGGAAAAUUCUCAUCACAACCCUUCCAAUAAACUAGUUCUGACCUUUCAAUCCAUAAUACCUUAAGACAAGGAAACACGUAAUCCUUCUUCAACUCCCAAGAAUCCCCCCUAAAUGCAUUCUCUUUCACCUUCAACACUUCAAGAAGCUCCAAA
rnacentral:misc_RNA from 1 species